UACCCUAUUCUCUUAGA
rnacentral:sRNA from 1 species